UACGAAGGGACCUAGCGUAGUUCGGAAUUACUGGGCUUAAAGAGUUCGUAGGUGGUUGAAAAAGUUGGUGGUGAAAUCCCAGAGCUUAACUCUGGAACUGCCAUCAAAACUUUUCAGCUAGAGUAUGAUAGAGGAAAGCAGAAUUUCUAGUGUAGAGGUGAAAUUCGUAGAUAUUAGAAAGAGUACCAAUUGCGAAGGCAGCUUUCUGGAUCAUUACUGACACUGAGGAACGAAAGCAUGGGUAGCGAAGAGGAUUAGAUACCCUCGUAGUCCAUGCCGUAAACGAUGUGUGUUAGACGUUGGAAAUUUAUUUUCAGUGUCGCAGCGAAAGCGAUGAACACACCGCCUGGGGAGUACGACCGCAAGGUUAAAACUCAAAUGAAUUGACGGGGACCCGCACAAGUAGUGGAGCAUGUGGUUUAAUUCGAAGAUACGCGCAGAACCUUACCAACACUUGACAUGUUCGUCGCGACUCUAAGAGAUUAGAGUUUUCGGUUCGGCCGGACGAAACACAGGUGCUGCAUGGCUGUCGUCAGCUCGUGUCGUGAGAUGUUGGGUUAAGUCCCGCAACGAGCGCAACCCUCACUUUUAGUUGCCAUCAUUAAGUUGGGCACUCUGAAAGAACUGCCAGUGAUAAGCUGGAGGAAGGUGGGGAUGACGUCAAGUCCUCAUGGCCCUUACGUGUUGGGCUACACACGUGCUACAAUGGUAUCUACAACAGGAAGCAAGACUGCGAAGUUAAGCAAAUCCCUAAAAGAUACCUCAGUUCGGAUUGCACUCUGCAACUCGAGUGCAUGAAGCUGGAAUUACUAGUAAUCGUGGAUCAGCGUGCCACGGUGAAUGCGUUCCCGGGUCU
rnacentral:rRNA from 1 species